AAUAACUCAUUUUUUUUUCAUUUGAUCUUCAUUUCACAAUAAAGGAAAUCUCUAGUUUUUUUUGGUGUUUAUAAAGUCACAACAAAGCGGGGUGAUGAGAAUCAAUCCAAGGGUCUCCUGUAAUCAGGAGUAUCCCUUACUUAUAUAUGGUUAGAGUAACCGCCAUGGCAUUACCUCAAUCACUGGCUUCUUCUUACAGGCAUUAAGGCCGAUUCCUUGACCAGUGCUUUCGGGUUUAGCUGCUGGUGCUCCACGAGUUUUCAAUUCAUUCUUGAGACUACUGAUCGAUUACAUGGCUUCAAUUGAGUUAAUGCCAUGGCAGUAGUCUAAAGAAAUAAAUUGAAGCCUUGUGGAGCACCAGCAACUGAACCCAAAAGCAACGGUCGAGGAAAGUGGCCUUGACGCUGGUAAGUAGAAGCCGGAGUUUGAGUUAAUGCCAUGGCAGUUAAUUUAACAAGAUGUUGCAUUAAACUUAUUUAUUGGAGGGGGAUCAAUUUAUUUAUCUAUUGUUCUUGGUAUGAUAUAUACAAAAUAUUAGUGAGUAUUGUUAUGUUCAUGUUUAUACAAUUAAGGGUUUAUUAAUGAAGAAUGUGUCAUAUGUACUCCGUCUUUAUUCAAUUGCAAAUGGAGAAUUGCUUUGGACACUUCCAACGUGUAGGCAUAACGUUCCUUUGUCACUGCGUUGGUGAUUGGUUCUCGAAACGUGACUGCCGUUAUCCGAUUUGUAUGCAUGAUUAUUAUGAGGGGAAUUAUUGUACACUCGGGUACAUUAGACUUUUUUCUUUUUGGAUCAUAAUUUUUGUUGUACUUGUUAAGUUGUAAUACAUCGAGUUUGUUUUAUGACAUUAUUGCUUUAUCAUCUUAUUUAAGGUAGUAAGGAACUUUUUUCAAGUGAUA